rnacentral:sRNA from 1 species
CAAUGGCAAUUCAGAUCCUCGUGGUUUUGGUCACAUAGGCAUUGUAGUACCAGAUGUCUACAAAGCUUGCGACAGAUUUGAACAGCUUGGAGUACCAUUUAUUAAAAAGCCAGAUGGAGGUAAGAUGAAAGGACUUGCAUUUAUC